rnacentral:lncRNA from 1 species
AAGAGUAUAAUACAAUGUUGGGAAUCCGGUACUCGCCCCGGUACCGGAUCUUGUGAAUCCGCAACCCGCCCCGAUACCGAUUGCUGUGAAUCCGGUACCGAUGGUUGGGAUUCCGCAACGGAAACGUCAAAUCGGGUUUUUACCAUAAACCCGUCUCCUCAGCAAAAACUGAUACAGUCAUAAAAGAAAAAAAUAUGUAGGUAAAAUAAGAUUCAUUAAAUAAGAGAAGAUUACACCUGACUCCUCUUCUGCACAGAGUAGCUACAACCCGAGCCCUCUUUCUUGAAUCUCUUUUACCCUUCUCUCGUCUUCUAUAAACCCAUAAAGAAGACAAUCAUCCACCCGCACCCGUGCACUAGGUGCACUAAAUAACUCUCUCUUUUUCUCUCUCUGGUACGACACCCAAGAGGCCUUUUCUUCUCUUGACCGUACUCAUCUUAAAAGCAAACCCACAAAGAGUUAUUUAUAAGGCUUCACUAAAACGUACCCCAAUCCUAAUAUAUUUAGGAUUUCUACUCCAAUAAUAUCUAAAUCUAUCUUAAUUAAUCUCUAAUAGAUUUAAAUAUUAAUCCUAAUCUAGUUAGAUUUUAUCCUCUAAUUAAUAUUUAAAUCUUAAUUUAUCUCCAAUAGAUUUAAAUAUUAAUUCUUAUCUAACUAGGAUUCAACUACAAAUCUAAACAAAUCCUAACAAUCUACACCUU